AAGUCACAAACCCUACUCAAAUCAGGAUUCGGGAGCUCUGCUUGUUGGGUUGAGGAGACAGGGGAGAGCUCGCGAUUAGAUUGCACGCGUCCUUCGUCUUCAUCUCCGUCAGCAUCGACAGCAAGCAGGUUGGUUUUGAUAGCUAUCGCCUACUUCUAUGCCCUACUUUUGCUUUAACGUAAAGGUAAGGCGGUAAAAGACUUGGGAAUUGUUUUGAAGUCGCCAUAAUGUUGGGUUCAUUACCGAUACUGCCUCUGCCUGCUCCUCCCUCUGAUGGAAAUCUAGGUCCUCGCCCUGAGGCUCAAUUGCCUGAGGAGAGGGAGGAUGAAAAAUCGUCUAGCGAGGAGCAGACCAAAUCGAAUUCUACAUCAGUUGCUACCCACACUAGAACUAUUGGAAUCAUACAUCCCCCUCCAGACAUUAGAACUAUUGUCGAUAAAACAGCCCAGUUCGUUGCAAAAAACGGUCCUGAAUUUGAGAAAAGGAUCAUUGCAAAUAACACUGGCAAUGUCAAGUUCAAUUUCCUGAAUUCAUCGGAUCCCUAUCAUGCAUAUUAUCAACAUCGACUAGCGGAAUUUCGUGCCCAAAACCAAUCUUCCACCCAGCAAUCUCCUUUGCAACCUAUAGAUUCAGCUUUGUCUGAAUCAACCUUCUCUGCGCCAGCCUCUGACAGUAAUGAUGCUGCAGCAGCACCUACAGCAACAAUAAAGCCUGACCCCUCCUCUCAAUUUAAGCCUGUAAGGAAAGUACUUGAACCCCCUGAAGCUGAGCAGUAUACAGUUCGGCUUCCUGAAGGGAUUACAGGGGAAGAGCUGGAUAUUAUAAAGCUCACCGCACAAUUUGUGGCUCGAAAUGGAAAAUCAUUCUUGACAGGGUUGACUAGUAGGGAGGUUAAUAAUCCUCAAUUCCAUUUCUUGAAACCAACCCACAGCAUGUUUACAUUCUUCACUUCCCUUGCAGACGCGUAUUCUAAGGUUUUGAUGCCUCCGAAGGGGUUGACAGAGAAGCUGAGGAAAAGCAUUUCUGACAUGACUACUGUCCUUGAACGGUGUGUGAACAGGCUGGAAUGGGAGCGAUCACAGGAGCAAGCUCGGCAAAAGGCUGAGGAUGAAAUAGAGCAGGAAAGGAUUCAAAUGGCGAUGAUAGAUUGGCAUGAUUUUGUUGUGGUUGAAACAAUAGAUUUUGCUGAUGAUGAGGAUAAGGAGCUGCCUCCCCCGAUGACUCUUGAGGAGGUUAUAAGGAGAAGCAAGGUUUCAGCCAUGGAAGAAGAUAUAGUUGAACCUGAAAAGGAAGUUGAAAUGGAAAUGGAUGAGGAAGAGGCCCAACUUGUUCAAGAGGGCAUGAGGGCAGCUAGUUUGGAAGAUAAUGAUGAUGGGAAGAAAGGUGGGGUCAAUGUUACAGAGGAGCCUGAGCCACCUAUGAGGAUUGUCAAAAACUGGAAAAGACCAGAGGAAAGGAUUCCUGCAGAAAGAGAUCCGACAAAAUUUGUUGUUUCCCCAAUUACUGGUGAGUUAAUUCCAAUUAAUGAAAUGUCUGAACAUAUGCGAAUCUCUCUCAUUGAUCCCAAGUUCAAAGAACAAAAGGAAAGGAUGUUUGCCAAAAUUCGUGAGACAAUGCUGGCUCAGGAUGAUGAAAUCUCAAGAAACAUUGUUGGACUUGCACGGACCCGUCCUGAUAUCUUUGGUACUACUGAAGAGGAGGUCUCCAAUGCUGUCAAGGCAGAAAUUGAAAAGAAGAAAGAUGAGCAACCUAAGCAGGUUAUAUGGGAUGGUCACACUGGUAGCAUAGGACGAACUGCGAACCAAGCCAUGUCACAGAGUUUGGGUGGUGAGGAUCCAAAUAAUGUUGCUAAUAAUGAAGCUAGAAACCUUCCUGGCCCUGCCGCACCUCCUCCUAGGCCUGGUAUGCCUUCAAUUCGUCCUCUUCCACCACCGCCUGGACUUGCAUUGAAUCUUCCCCGUGUUCCACCCCCCACAGUUCAGUAUCCUCCCCCAACCAGUGGUGGUCUUUCAGUGCCUCCUCCAAGACCUCCGGUACCCAUUAUGCCAUCUUUUCAUCCUGCUUCUCAUCCAGUGCCAGUCACUUCUGGGCAGCAAACAUUCAUGUCCAGUCAACCACCUCCGUUGCCUUCAGUUUCUGUCAAUGGACCGGGGAUGCCUGUUCCUCCACCCCCAGGUUCUCAGAUCACUCCUGUUUCAAUUCCUCGACCGUAUGCCUCUCUUCCUAUCCCUCCACCUGGGAUGCCUAUGAUGCCUCCACCACCUUUGCCUCAAGGAAUGCCACCCCCGCCGCCACCUGAGGAAGCUCCUCCUCCGCUUCCAGAAGAACCAGAGCCAAAGAAACAGAAGCUUGAUGAUUCAGCUCUUAUCCCAGAAGAUCAGUUUCUGGCUCAACAUCCGGGACCAGUUCGUAUCUGUAUAUCAAUUCCUAAUAUUGAUGAAGGAAAUCUCAGAGGACAAGUUCUGGAGAUUGCCAUGCAAUCUCUGUCUGAAACUGUUGGCAGUCUGAAGGAGAAAAUUGCUGGGGAGAUUCAACUCCCUGCUAACAAACAGAAAUUGAGUGGAAAACCUGGCUUUCUCAAGGAUAAUAUGUCACUUGCUUAUUACAAUGUUGGAGGAGGGGAGGUGCUCUCUCUCACAUUAAGAGAGCGUGGUGGUAGGAGGAGAUGAGUUCAUACUUGCCCAUCCGUUCGAGGUUGUUGUUGGAGCUUUUGCCUCACUAUGGGCAUAUGAUUUCUCAUAAUAUUCAUAAACUCUAUGAUGCUUUAUUAAUGUUGGUGACUUUAUGUGUAUUCUAGUAUCAGCAAGCUUUCAGGAUCUUAUAAUUGUUUGGCAAGAUUGAUGUUAACUGUGAAAUGCUGAUUUGGGCACCUAGGCCUCAUCUUUUGAGAGCAGUGGGAAGUAAUGCAGUUCCUUUUAUAUGAUUAAGUCAAUACUUACACCAUUAAUUAUUAUUUUCUUCUGGAUUUCAGUUGAUUUCUUGCAGAUUUACUAGUUUGUUUCUGCUCGAACUCUUCUGCAAUCAGGGAGGGGCCAUGUAGAUUCUUGUUUUUCUUUGGUCUUGCUCAUUUUUAGUGUUGUUUCAAAUUUGAAUGGGAAGCAGUGAUUUAGGUUUUUCUUCUCUUCUAGUGUUUAGGUCUUCUUAUAUUGGAUAUGCUCUUACACCAGCACAGUUAAUUGGUUGGUUUGGUUGGAGGAUCCUUUAGGUGCUGAGCUUAUGCACCUUUAGCUGGUGCAUUAUGUUUGGGCUUAAUAGGACAUUUUACAUCGACUUAUGGGAAGGCUGUUCCGCUUAGCUGAUUUAUCUGUGAAUGGGAUGAGGAAGUUUUGUCACUUUGUGGUGGGAGCAGAAGACCACUGCAUUGAUGGCUGAAGGAUAAAGAAUAACGCAAGUGAUACAAAACAGAAAUAGAAGGGAAUGAAUUAUUUCUAUGCAUAUUGACCUGCGACUGUUGCAUUAUAUAUAGAGAAAAUCAAGCCUGAUCAAUCAUUACUGAUUUGAAUCAAACUGUUCGACUAACUGAUUUUGAGCUGAUAGGUAAACAACUCUUCUAAUCCCAAAGUUGGCCAUUCAUUUCCUACUUUUGACUUACCGUUCCUCUGGCAUUUCUUGCUCCCGAGCACCAUCUUUUGGACAGCUUUUAUUAUAUUUUUGUAGCAAAGGUUACAAAUAGACUAGGAAACCAAGAUGCUGAGUUUUAUGUCAUCUCCAACCGAUUUAUUAUUUGUCUUACCAUAUUUGGGGCUUAGUUUCUACCUUUUCAGUUCUCACAUGAACAGUUAAUCUUGCAGUGACCAUUUGCUGUUUUGGGAAUGACAUACAUUUGACUUAAUGCGUGAUCUCAGAGGCAUGAAUUUAUGGGACCUUUUGUCUUUGCUAGUUUUGGGUCCAUGUCAAUAUUCACUCGUCUUAGAUGCAUGGAGUCUCAAUUUUCCUGUGGCAUGUCUGUUUCAGUGUCGCUAUAUCGUUUCUUCUUGGAAUGUGAUGCCACUGGUAACGCUACUGAUAGAAGUAGUGAAAUAGUGGGUUCGGUUGUAAUGUUUUUGGAUUGAUCAGAAUGACAUUUGAGCUAUUCGUGAUAAAAGUUCUGUUGAUGGUGUAAUGGUGCUGAAAAAAGUGGCCAUAUAGCGCACCAAAAGUGUGGCCAUUGUCUUCUGCCCAAAAAAGAGAAAAAUAGCUAUAAGAAUGUUUGUGCCCUUAUGUUGUGCAAGUCGCCUAUAUGACCCAUCUUGGAAUGAUGGGUGCUGGUAAAACGGGCCAGCUCAUGGCCCAUGGUGGAGCAAGGACUUACAAGGAAGGACCAAUGUAUUAAACCAAAAAAAAAACACUGGCCUAGACUGUGGUGGUGUGGGGCUGUAAAAUUUCAGAUUCUAGCAGGCUGGCCUUUUGCCAACCCGCCUGUGGGCCCAGCCUGGUGGGUAAGGUGCUGCAGUAGUAAGCUUAUUUGUUUGCCGUAAAAGCUUAAUUGGUGUCAUGGGAUGUCUGUUCGUGGAAGAGUUACCAAUAUUGAUUUGUGGUUUAUGUGAUUUUAUUAUUGUCGGUUUGUUUUUCAUUAUCUUUAGAUUUUGGGGAGAAUGACACGUCGGUCCUUUAGAAGAGAAUUAUUGAUACGAGUGGGUGCAUUACAAGUCCCAAGAAGUAAGGAAUGGGGCUUGGUGAGGGUUAUGUAGGUUCUCAAGAAAGAGUUCCGUACAGGCCAAGAACAAUUAUGUACUUUUAAUUAUAGAAUGAGAAAACUUUUUUGGAGAUA